AGGUGAGGUGCCGAGCCGCGAGACCCUGCAGAGCGCUUCCUUUGUUCCGGAGCGAGUAGGACGCGCUACCUCCUGGAGGAAAGAAGCGACUGCGUUUCGCAGUGCUGACUUUUUUUUACAGUGUGAGCUAACGUGUAUGCUCUGAAAAACACCCCGUUUUCCAGUAUGUGAAUGAGUAUAUUUGUACGGGGCCAGUACGGCAGACAUAGCGGGUCGUUGGACCGAGCCCACCGAGAGUGGAUCUGUGGGAAGCCACUGUGGCACCUUGCUGAGUCUGUUCACCCGUGCAGCUAGCUGGUGGCAGCCCUGGCAGAUCCCGGCACACAGUCAGGCUCCACGCCUUACCCGAGCCAGUUGUGCCUCUAGAUUACGCCUCGCUUAAAGUCCAGCGACCAAGAUAGAAAAACAGCCCCACGAUGCAACCAUUUUGGAAAACCGCUGCAGUUUCUGCCAAAGCUAAAUGUACGCUUACCUUGUGACCCCAGAAAUUUCACUUCAAGAGGAAUGAGUGCAUACGUCCACCAAAGGCAUGUGCAAGAAUGUCCAUAGCACGUUUAUUCGUAGUAGUAAAAAACUGGUAACCUAAAUGUCCAUCAGCAGUUGAGUGGCUAAAUUGUGGUGUAUCAUACAGUGGAUUUCUACAGAGAAAUAGGAAGUUACGGAUAAACGCAACAGCCUGAACGAAUAGCAGCUACUGUUAACUUAGGCACAAAGAAGAGGACGCUGUAUGAUUCCAUUUUGAUGAGGUUCAAAAUAUAACUGCACAGCAAGUUGUUCUCCAGUAUGAAUCAGGAAUCGUACCAGCCUGGGGAACAUGGCGAGAUCCCAUCUUUGCGCGUCGGGGUGCGUUCCUGUGACCGCCUUCCUGUGAUCGUUCCUGUGAUGGAGACAAGGUCUCUCACCCAGGGUGAUCAUAACUCACUGCAGCCUCAACCUCCCGGGCUCAAGUGAUCCUCUCACCUCAGCCUCCCUAGUAGCUCAGACUAAUGACCUGUACCAGGACACCCAUACCCAGCUAAUUUUAGUAGAGACUGUCAGGCCUCAGAGCCCAAGCUAAGCCAUCAUAUCCCCAGUGACUUGCACGUAUACAUCCAGAUGGCCUGAAGCAACUGAAGAUCCACAAAAGUGAAAAUAGCCUUAACUGAUGACAUUCCACCAUUGUAAUUUGUUUCUGCCCCACCCUAACUGAUCAAUGUACUUUGUAAUUUCCCCGACCCUUAAGAAGGUUCUUUAUAAUUCUCCCACCCUUGAGAAUGUACUUUGUGAGAUCCACCCCCUGCCCACAAAACAUUGCUCCAAACUCCAAUGCCUAUCCCAAAACCUGUAAGAACUAAUGAUAAUCCCACCACCCUUUGCUGACUCUCUUUUCGGACUCAGCCCACCUGCACCCAGGUGAAAUAAACAGCCUUGUUGCUCACACAAAGCCUGUUUGGUGGUCUCUUCACACGGACACGUGAGACAGAGACAAGAUCUGAUUAUGUUGCCCAGGGCGGUCUCAAACUCCUGGGUUCAAGCAAUCCUCCUGCCUCAGCCUCCCAAAGUGCUGGGAUUACAGGCCAUGCGCCACCACGCCCAGCCCCUAUAAUCUUAUUUUGAUAUGUGUCUAGAAAUAUGUAAGGAGGCCAGACAAUUCCAGUUCUGUGUGAUGAGCUUAGGUUAGGAUGGAAGGAAGCCAUGGACACCCUGAGUGCAAGGCAGGAAAGCCAGGAUAGAAGGCAGGAUUCUCAAGGGCUGAAGGUAGGGAAUGGGGUCAGGAAGGUAACGCUAAGAAGUCCGCUCAUCAAUUGGGUUUAGAAGUUAGGCAGAAAAGACAAGCAAGUGGUCAGUUCCUAGAAAUUAUACUGGGAGUGGUAGAGGAGGCAUUCAGGCAGUGUCCUGAU
rnacentral:lncRNA from 10 species